rnacentral:rRNA from 1 species
UACGUAGGGGGCAAGCGUUGUCCGGAAUCAUUGGGCGUAAAGAGCGUGUAGGCGGCCCGAUAAGUCCGCUGUGAAAGUCCAGGGCUCAACCCUGGAAUGCCGGUGGAUACUGUCGGGCUCGAAUCCGGAAGAGGUGAGUGGAAUUCCGAGUGUAGCAGUGAAAUGUGUAGAUAUUCGGAAGAACACCAGUGGCGAAGGCAGCAGAUUGGGCCGGUACUGACGCUCAGGCACGAAAGCAUGGGGAUCAAACAGG